UACGUAGGGUCCGAGCGUUGUCCGGAAUUACUGGGCGUAAAGAGCUCGUAGGUGGUUUGUCGCGUUGUCCGUGAAAACUCACAGCUUAACUGUGGGCGUGCGGGCGAUACGGGCAGACUGGAGUACUGCAGGGGAGACUGGAAUUCCUGGUGUAGCGGUGGAAUGCGCAGAUAUCAGGAAGAACACCCGUGGCGAAGGCGGUUCUCUGGGACGGUACUGACGCUGAGACGCGAAAGCGUGGGGAGCGAACAGG
rnacentral:rRNA from 1 species